rnacentral:ncRNA from 1 species
UAACUGAAGAGUUUGAUCAUGGCUCAGAUUGAACGCUGGCGGCAGGCCUAACACAUGCAAGUCGAGCGGAA